UGAUAUUAGUUGACUUUAUGUCUUUGUAUUGUUUGAUUGAAUGGACUGAAUCUGCAAAGUGUACUUUUGUUUUGAUUGAAUGCAUGAUUUUAUCACUUUUCUGCUGGUUUCAUUCUUCUUCAAUUCCUUUGAGAAACAUGUAUAUAUCUAAUUCUAAGCUGAAGACCUAAAAGCUGACAAUUUGAAUUGUUAAAGUAUGUUUGUUAAGUCAGAUAUUUUGUUGCAUUUUCUCCCCCAAUUAGGUUAAAUUGGCUGUUACAUGAGGCAGGUUAUGGAGAAGAAGGCAAAGUUUGACAGUCAAAAUAUCUAACUUCCCUUUUUUGAAUUUGUAGGGUGAUAAAAAUAUCAUAAAAUUUGAUGGCGACUACAAUUCUUUUAUGAUUCAGUUUCCAUUUUCUUGUACAAUGUUCUCUGUCUUCCUCAAGUUUCUGUUGCUGAAGAAAUAUUAUGAUUUGGGUGAUUUGAAACUUGGUUCCGGUGUGGAUGAUGAGGUAUUUAGCAUUUAGAGUUCCUUGUCUUGAUUUCCUGCUCACUUCAAUUAUGUCAUCAAUCUUCAUGGCAAGCAAAAGUGUUGAUGCAAAUCAAGAUGACUCAAGAUUUGGAGAAGUUAACAACAGACUUGUUUGACUGGUAACUGGACUGGUAAAGCCAUCCGUAGAUAUUUUGUGAUGGUUGAAUAAAGAUUUUUAGCUUUCGGCGACAUUCUUGAAUUGAAUAGGUUACCGAAAUGGCUGAUUUUCAGAAGGACUUGGAUUUGGAUAGCUUGGAUAGGGUUGAGCUUAUUAUGGCUCUUGAAGAAGAAUUUUCCAUAGAAAUUCCUGAUGAGAAAGCAGAUAAGCUUACUUGUUGUACUGAUGUUGCAAAAUACAGUCUCUGAAGCUGACAAAAAAAAUUAGGCAAUCCCUGACUUCUCAAUUGUUUGGCAUACAAAGUUUUUGUGGUUGAGCUGUAUCCAUCUCUGCAAUGUCAGCUUGAUUAAUAAGUAUUGAAACUGCCCGUCUCCUUUUCUCGUUUCUUUUUGUCACACUACCCCAAUGUAAGGCAUGGCACCUAUAAUUUAAAAAUUCUCUUGCUUUUUAAUGUUAAAAGUCUCCCUUUUAGUUGUUAAAA